rnacentral:snoRNA from 1 species
UCAGUGCCCGGUGAACUUUUGCCCGGCCUGUCCAUGGUCUGUCACAAAUGCGUCAUAAGGUGCUUUCCGACUCAGUGUCGAUUUGGUGCUAGCAUGGAUCAUCA